ACCUACGGGGCGCAGCAGUGAGGAACAUUGGUCAAUGGACGCAAGUCUGAACCAGCCAUGCCGCGUGCAGGAUGACGGCUCUAUGAGUUGUAAACUGCUUUUGUACGAGGGUAAACCCCGAUACGUGUAUCGGGUUGAAAGUAUCGUACGAAUAAGGAUCGGCUAACUCCGUGCCGGCAGCCGCGGUAAUACGGAGGAUCCGAGCGUUAUCCGGAUUUAUUGGGUUUAAAGGGUGCGUAGGCGGAAGGUUAAGUCAGCGGUCAAAUGUCGGUGCUCAACACCGGCCUGCCGUUGAAACUGGUCUU
rnacentral:rRNA from 1 species